rnacentral:rRNA from 1 species
AAUAUUGGACAAUGGGCGAAAGCCUGAUACAGUCAUGCCGCGAGUUUGAAGAAGAUCUUCGGAUUGUAAAGUACUUUUAUUAGGGAGGAAGGUCAAUAAGAUAAUACCUUGCUAUUUUUACUAUACCGACAGACUAAGCACCUGCUAACUUCGUUCCUUCGGCCGCGGUAAUACUAAGGGUGCAAGCGUUAAUCGGAAUUACUGGGCGUAAAGCGCGCGUAGGUGGUUUGUCAAGUUGGAAGUGAAAGCCCCGGGCUCAACCUGGGAAAUGCUUUCAAAACUGGCAAGCUAGAGUAUGGCAGAGGGUGGUGGAAUUUCCUGUGUAGCGGUGAAAUGCGUAGAUAUAGGAAGGAACAUCGGUGGCGAAGGCGACCACCUGGGCUAAUACUGACACUGAGGUGCGAAAGCGUGGGGAGCAAAC